rnacentral:rRNA from 1 species
GCAAGUCGAGCGAGAACGUCCUUCGGGGCGAGUACAGCGGCGGACGGGUGAGUAACGCGUAGGAAUCUACCUGGUAGUGGGGGACAACAUGUGGAAACGCAUGCUAAUACCGCAUACGCCCUAUGGGGGAAAGCGGGGGACCUUCGGACCUCGCGCUAUUGGAUGAGCCUGCGUAAGAUUAGCUAGUUGGUGGGGUAAAAGCUCACCAAGGCGACGAUCUUUAGCUGGUCUGAGAGGAUGAUC